GGACCUUGAAAUGAUGCCGUUUCGGUGGAGUG
rnacentral:piRNA from 1 species